rnacentral:rRNA from 1 species
AAGGGCACCACAAGAACGCGUGGAGCAUGUGGCUUAAUUUGACUCAACGCGGGAAAUCUUACCGGGUCCGGACACACUGAGGAUUGACAGGCAAUAUUAUAAAAUUAAUUUUUUAUAUCUACCUCUCUCUCACGGGAGAGGCAAGAAUUGAUUUUUUUUUUAUAUGUUAAAUAUGCUAGUCCUUUCAUGAUUAUGUGAUAGGUGGUGCAUGGCCGUUCUUAGUUCGUGGAGUGAUCUGUCUGCUUAAUUGCGUUUCACUAUUGGGCUUAUAUAAUUACGUAUGCUAGCUUUACGCUUUGACCCCUUUUCUACGGAAUUGCGCGUGUCUUUGUCUCGUUCAGCUUCAUACAAUUAAGCCCUGAAAGCAACGAACGUGACCGCAACCUCUUGUUGCUCUCAAUUUUGACUCACGUUUUUACCAGAACUGUCAUGCUUUUGAUCAAUUUUUUUAUUUUCUCACGAAUUUAUUCUGAUUUUUCUUAAGUCAAGAGAGCUUUCUAAACUAGAGGGACCGCUGUUACUUUCUUAAACCAGAGGAAGGUUGCGGCAAUAACAGGUCUGUGAUGCCCUUAGAUGUUCCGGGCUGCACACGUGCUACAAUGAUUAUUGCAGUGAGCAUCUCAUUUUUUACAUACAUCGCAUGCGCGAGUCCAUUUAUUCAUCACUUCGGUGUUGCUUUAAAUGUGCACCUCUGCGCGCGAUAAAGCCUACUUCGAAAGUAAGCGGGUAAUCAAUUAGAAGUAAUGAUUUCCUUUUUUUUCUGCACGCAUAUAUAUGGCACUUAUACCCGGGUAGCCUUGUUGCUACUUCUGUGCGUAUCAGUGAUACUUUGUGUUUUACUACACAUUGUAUAUUACCAUAUGUGCAAUUGUCAAUUCAUGGUGGGGACAGACCAUUGUUAAUUGUUGGUCUCGGUCUUAACUAGGAAUGCCUUGUACGGAUCUUUGGUUCAACAAACCAUCCGGAAUACGUCCCUGCCCUUUGUACACACCGCCCGUCGCUCUUACCGAUGGACUUCUCUGUGAGUUUGAGGGACUGGUAUAUGAUUCGUGCAGUGCUUGCGCUCACAAUCGACACUAUAGAAACUUAAACGAACAGUGGGGUCUAAAGGAAAGAG